GAUAUGUUGAUGUUAAGAAACACCUCAUCAACUUAAAGGUCAUGCGAUUAAACGAUAAUAAUAUUUGGGAAGAAAAUGGACUUAUUGCAAAUAGACUUAAAAGAAAUCUU